UAGCUGUCUUGCCCCAAAGCAGGCUUUUUUUUUUCCCAUGCCAAAACAAUUUGGCAAAUUGCAACCCAAAUUUGGGCUGGCGUGACAAGAGCUUCAGGUGGGUGAAAUCUCAUGCGGGGGCAAGGCUUGCCCUGCUCUUGGGUUCUCCAGGACUGGGCGUUUCUUGCAGGAGGCUCCUGGUCCUGGUGGUACAGCCAAGUCCCAGGAGGCCCUGCAGAAUCUGCAUAGCGUGGGGGGUGCUUGGCUGCUGGAGGAUGUCCCGGUAGGGCUUCUCUAUCAGGCCAGCUCAGGACCAAUGCUGCCUGGUGGCCAGCUUGCCUUUGCUGAGCCUGCCCAAUCUGGGUCACUGCCCCCAGAUGUUGUGCUGACCAAGGCUGAAGAACAGGUGUUUUCCCCCCGCCUGGUGGGAGAGGAGAUAGGGAGUUCUGUUUUGCCUUUGGCCAUAAAAUGCUUUGACAUGGGAUCUUCCACCUGGGCACGCCCAGGGUGGGAGUGCAUGUGUUCUGAGGUGCCUGGCCCUUGCAACUCUGCUUGGGAUAGGAUUGACUAUCACAGGGUGGUGGGGCUCAGCACCUUGGUGCCUGCUGUGUCCCCUGUCCCCCUCCUGGCUCCAAUGCAUUCACCCUCUGCUCCUGGCAGCCUCCUGCUUGUUCCUCAGAGCUCGCACUUCAAAGGUAGGUCUGGCUGGGUGCUGGACAAAGAAGGGCUGUAAUUUGGCUGUGUUCAGGGUGGGAGCUAGAGCCUGCUUGCCCUGCCCACACCAGCCCUGCCUCUGCCUCCCGUGCCCAGCAGCAGCCCUAUGUUUGCAGCGUGCAGCCCCACCAGCACCGAGGCUGCUCUUCUGAUGCAGAAGGGAAGCAAGAGCCAGUCUCACUAUGCUGACCUCUUCUUCCUCCUCCUCUUCUCCUUUUCCCGGGUGCCCUGGCCUGCGGGCAGAGGAACUUGGCUGGCCCCAGCCCUUGGGUUCCUGGUGCUCCAUGCCAAGCUCCAUGAGCAGGUUGGGAUGGGGAUGGAAGCUGCCAUCAGCGCAGCUCCAAGCGCAGCAGGGCCUCUGUGCGGCCAACGUCUCUGGGCAGCAGCGGAACCAGCCCUGAGAACGUCUGCAGAAACAAUAGCAAUUGUUCUCUUUCUUUGUUCCCUUCCCUCCCCGGAUGCUGCGGAAGAAGGAGCUGUGCGGGUGGGCAGAGUGCGCUGCCCCUGCGCCGUGCUGCCCUCAGCCUUCUUCCAAGAAGUGUGUUUGUAUGUCGGGCAGUGCCUCGGUGCCGGGCCGUAAACAUGGGCAGCUGUUGCCUAAGCUUGAGCUGACAAAGCCUGAAUCAUCACUAACAAUAAUACGAGCUGUCGAUGGGGAAAGCAGUGCAAUUGGGCCGUGAGUCGCUUUGUCACGGGGCAGGAGAUUUCCUUGCAGCAGCGGAGCAGGGUGGCUCUGAUCAGGUUUGGUGCCUGGGUUGGGGAAUCUUCAGCUGCCGGUGGGGCUGAUGAGUGUCGGGUCAGGGAACGUGCCAGAACCACAGAACAUCCCAGGCACGUGGACACAAGUCCUGGGGCUUCCCUGCCUCGCUUUCUCCAUCCAUUUGUCACCCAUUGGCUGCCUGCUGCGUGGCCAACACCGAGGGCUUCCCGUGCAGGGCAGGAGGCUGCUAGCUCUGUCUGGAAGCCCACGGAGUGCUGGUGCUGCAGCAGGGUGGGAUGGUGGGACCGGAAUUGCUGCUGGGAGCUGGCAGUAAGGCAUGCAGUCGGAGCGCUUUGUGAUUUUUGUGGUGGCAUUCCUAAAAAUGGUGCCUUUUGCAAUCCGCGUGGCCCUUUGCCAAAACUUUCCUGGCAGAACCCCUCCAAAAUUUCUGGGAAUGAAGUUUUUUUAACUGGGGAUUGGAUUAAUGGCAACCACAGUCGCUGGGUGCUGCUGACAGGUUUACUGGUGUGGGGAUUUCUGCAGGGUGGCCUUGGGGAGCCGCAGACGCUCCAGGGAACGUGGGGAGGGAUCUUGACGCUGAAGAAAGGGCAGAGCUGAGGAAUGGGAUGCCAGCCCUGGGUUUUCUGCCCACUCCCACGUGAUGAUUUGUCUCUGAUGUUUGCUGGGAGCGUCAGCCAGGAGCAAACCCAUGCAUUCCAUCCUCGCUGGGCUGCUGUAUGCUCCCUGGGAAGGACCUGAUGGGAUGGCCAAACUUUUUUGGGAGAAGUCCAAGGAUCGUUUUGUUCAGAGCUGCCACAUGGUUUUAUUUACAACCCAUAGGAACUAGGCAAUCAUCUCCUCUGUUUGUCUCUUUCAUUCUGUCCUCCCUCAGUUGCUUGUGCGCACAGGAAUGUGCAUGUGUGCUUAGGAACAGCUCUGCAGCCCUAUUCCUGGUGCUGCUGGGACAAGGAGCAGGUCUUGGGCUGAGCACAGCCACAGGCAUAGGUGCUCCCAAGCCCUUGUUUAAAAACACGGGUUGGUUCCCCAGGGCACAUCACCUACAGCUUCCCAAGCUGAAGAACAGUGAAAACCCUUCAGGGCCAUUGCUGUCCCUCUCCUCACCAGCUUCAACCUUGAGCUGCAGGGCGGGCCACCCCUGUCCACCAAAAUCACGUGAGGUUUGUUCUCCCCCCCCCUUGGCAUUCCUGCAUCUCUCUGCUUUUGCAGGGCACAGCAGCAGCUGUGACCUCGGGUCUGGUGAUGUCCUCCUCGGCUUCUGGCAGCUUUUUAACCAGUGAAGUCCCCAGAGUUAGCUGUGUCCCGGUGGGAAGCCAGGCCCUGCUGGUGCUUGGGCAGCACACACAGAUCCGGCCGCUGACGCAUGUCCCCACGUGCUGCCAGCUCCCCGGGCCGUGCUAACGUGACACAUGUGUGCAGCACUGCCAC
ensembl:lncRNA